rnacentral:tRNA from 1 species
CUCGCCGCCGGCCGGAAGGGGAAGCGGCGCCGGGCGCUCGGGCCGCCCGUGGACGAGGACACGGCCGUCCUUGACGUCCGCGACGGGG